rnacentral:sRNA from 1 species
ACACUUCUUGGCUGUGUGCGCUCAGCAGGACGUGGGAGGCUCCGGCUUCAAGGUCGACACUCAUCCAAGAGGAAGGAUGGCCAGUAUCUUUUCUAAGUUGCUAACUGGCCGCAAUGCUUCUCUGCUGUUUGCUACCAUGGGCACCAGUGUCCUGACCACCGGGUACCUGCUGAACCAGCAGAAAGUGUGUGCCGAGGUCAGGGAGCAGCCUAGGCUAUUUCCUCCAAGUGCAGACUACCCAGACCUGCGCAAGCACAACAACUGCAUGGCCGAGUGCCUCACCCCCGCCAUCUAUGCCAAGCUUCGCAACAAGGUGACGCCCAAUGGCUACACCCUGGACCAGUGCAUCCAGACUGGAGUGGACAACCCUGGCCACCCCUUCAUAAAGACUGUGGGCAUGGUGGCUGGUGACGAGGAGUCCUAUGAGGUGUUUGCUGACCUUUUUGACCCCGUCAUCAAACUAAGACACAACGGCUACGACCCCAGGGUGAUGAAGCACACAACGGAUCUGGACGCAUCCAAGGUAAGCUCCAGCCUCCCUCUCCUUCUCCACGAAGGUGGCACUCCAGAGCCCAGGGG